rnacentral:rRNA from 1 species
UGCCGCGUGAGUGAAGAAGGCCUUCGGGUUGUAAAGCUCUUUCGCGAGGGAAGAAAAGGUACGGGCUAAUACCCUGUGCUGAUGACGGUACCUUGAUAAGAAGCACCGGCUAACUACGUGCCAGCAGCCGCGGUAAUACGUAGGGUGCGAGCGUUAAUCGGAAUUACUGGGCGUAAAGCGUGCGCAGGCGGUUUUGUAAGACAGACGUGAAAUCCCCGGGCUUAACCUGGGAACUGCGUUUGUGACUGCAAGGCUAGAGUGUGGCAGAGGGGGGUAGAAUUCCACGUGUAGCAGUGAAAUGCGUAGAGAUGUGGAGGAAUACCGAUGGCGAAGGCAGCCCCCUGGGCUAACACUGACGCUCAUGCACGAAAGCGUGGGGAGCAAACAGGAUUAGAUACCCUGGUAGUCCACGCCCUAAACGAUGUCAACUAGGUGUUGGGAGGGUUAAACCUUUUAGUACCGUAGCUAACGCGUGAAGUUGACCGCCUGGGGAGUACGGCCGCAAGGUUAAAACUCAAAGGAAUUGACGGGGACCCGCACAAGCGGUGGAUGAUGUGGAUUAAUUCGAUGCAACGCGAAAAACCUUACCUACCCUUGACAUGUCAGGAAUCCCGGAGAGAUU